rnacentral:rRNA from 1 species
CCUACGGGACGCUGCAGUGGGGAAUAUUGCACAAUGGGGGAAACCUUGAUGCAGCGACGCCGCGUGAGCGAGGAAGUAUUUCUGUAUGUACAGCUCUAUCAGCAGGGACGAAAACCGCCGGUACCUGACUCCCAAGCCCCGGCUAACUACGUGCCAGCAGCCGCGGUAAUACGUAGGGGGCAAGCGUUAUCCGGAUUUACUGGGGGUAAAGGGAUCGUAGACAGAAAGGCAAGCCAGAAGUGAAAGGGCAGGGCUCAACCCUGUACAUGCUUUUGGAACUGGGGGGCUAGAGUGCAGGAGAGGAAAGUGGAAUUCCUAGUGUAGCGGUGAAAUGCGUAGAUAUUAGGAGGAACACCAGUGGCGAAGGCGGCUUACUGGACUGUAACUGACGUUGAGGCUCGAAAGCGUGGGGAGCAAACAGGAUUAGAUACCCGUGUAGUC